GUUUAGUUCUCAUUGAUGUUCCAAUGGCUUUGUGGCAGGACUGGAUCAGUUAGAAAGUGCCCGACAGCCGCGUCUCCGACUCCCACCCCCUCCCGGCUCCCGAGCGUUUAUUGAGUAUUUCAUCUCAUUGAUGUCCCAAUGGCUUUAUGACAGGACUGCAGGAUUGGUAAGAGAGUGCCCGACAGCCGCUUCUCCAACCAUG